AAAUGGAAAAUGCAAAAGCAUAACUUUAAUUAAAACUUAAAUUGUUUUACAACAAUAUUCUUAGUAAUUAACAGAAAAUACGUUCCAAAAAGCUUAACAAGUCUAACUUUGUCCUAGUAACACCUAAAACAUAAAUCUUGACUAAUGGAGCUUGGUAGAACCCAUUUCAAUCCAGUACCCCAAAGCUAUGAUGCCAACGAAUCAACUUGGAAGAACACAUUUCAUGCCCUCAUUUCAUUUCCUCAUCCUCUCACCCUGCAACUUAAAGUAUAUGAAACUUAGUCAUGUGAUCAAAACAAAAUACAUAUGCUCAUACACCUAUAUUAAUACAAUACAAAAUAAGUCCUAAACAACAUAAUAUCACUUGUCUACUGAAGUAUCAAUAACCAAAAAUACCAUGACGCGUCAUAAACUAAAUUUUAAUUACUUCCAUAGAUGGUUGAUGCAAAAAAGGGGGGGAAUCAAUUUGUAUAUCCAGAAUACUCACUUUCUUGAAGGUUGCUAUUAUAUUAACAGGAACCCAACCUUCUUCAUCCAAAAAAGCGUGCAAAAAAACAUCCCGCUAUGGAAUGAAAACUAGCUAACAAGAAGAAAUGCUUCAUUUCAUUCCUACAUUGCAAACAAAAAAUCAAGAUUUUUAAAAUGAAGUUUCACGCAUAAUCUUGAUAUAUAAAUUAAGCCAUCGUGAAUACAAUAAAAGAUGAAGACUUUUGGAAUGAAAAGUUAAACGCUAACUGCCUGGAGCAUCCCACAAAAUAAUAAAUAGAAAAAAGAAUUCAAUAAAUAAAUAAACAAUAACAAAUGUUUAAAUUUAAAAAUGAAUCAAGAAACUAUCAUGAUUGCAGGAGUUAAGAGGCAUUUAUUAGUGAAAAUAAACUUAUUAAAUUAAAAAAACAAACUAUCAAAUGAAAACCUUACCAAAAAGCUGUAUAACUUGAUGUCUUAUAUGUUGACGAUUAAAGUUUUUAUCUACAUUCCACACUACUCCUGUACUAUGCUUUCCCUGUCUUGCUCAACAUCCUAGAUAUCACACAAAAAACUUAGAUUUAUUGUUUAAACGAUUAUUUUAAAAUUUUCACACUAAAUUGGGUGAGAAUUUUGAGUAUUGGUACCAGUAAAGACGAAAACUGAAACAAUUAUCAUAGAGAAUAAAGGAACCAAGAUUACCAUUCAAUUUCUUUUUGUUUCAGAUCGGUUGUUAUAUAGCCACCGCCUAGACGAAACCCUAGAAUUGAAAGUCGGAAGGAAAGUGACUGAUAUCUUGAAAAUUAUAAAAAUAAGAAAGAAUGCAUCAGGAGAAAAUUCGUGGACAGCUAAAAGAAAAGGAGAAAGAUAAAAAUAAAAUAAAUAAAUAAAAAAAAUAAAAAAAAAAAAUAAAAAAAAACUCGAUGGUUUAAGAACUAGUUUUGAAUUUAGGAGAAGAAAUCUUGAAGAAAAUAGGCGUGGAUAAAGAAUCGGGAAAACACAUAAACAAAACAAAAAUUGACUAGGAAUCGAGAAUAGAUCCAGAAAGAAGGUACAUACUUGAAUCCAUGGCUUCGCUUAAUAAUCACAUUAUGUCCUUGAAUGCCACAUACAUCACUGGUGGUGUUCGUUGAUGAUAAUGCGCUUCGGUGGGAAUCGAAGGGUUCUACAUAAAAUUAGGGCAAAAAGAUAAGAAAUAAUAGAACUAUUUGGCGGUAUUGAAACUUUGGGUUGGCGGAAAGAUUUUAAUUUGGGUAAACCGAAAAAAAAAAAAAAAAAAAAAAAAAAAAAAAAAAAAUUUUUUUUNAAAAAAAAAAAACAUUUUUUUUUACACAGAAAUUCGAUUUUGAUAUUGGUUUUUUUUUUUUUCCAAUUUUGACACUGUGUUUUCCAAUUUGUUAUAAUUCUGACCACUUGACCGGUUAACCAUGUUGCAUGAUGACGUGUCAGUUUUGAUGACGUGGCAUGCUGACAUGAUAUGCUGACGUGUCAAAAUUGAAUUUUUUUCUCACAAAAAACACCAAGUUUUCAAUUUUUUCGAUUUUGACACUAAGUUUAAUUUUUUCUUUCAACUUUGACACUAUGUUUUUUUGUUCCAAAUCAAACAUCAUUUUUUCCAAUUUUGUUCAAUGUUGACAAUUUUCUAUUUGAAACUGUAUAAAUAUUUUUUAAUACAUUUAAACUGUAUAAAUAUGUUUUUUUUUCAUUUAAAAACCAUAGUUUUGUAUAAAUGCAUUUUUUUACACUCAACCCAUAUUUUUAUGUAUAAAUAUGUAUUAGUUAUAUAAAAAUUGUAUUUUAUACUAAAUAUGCAACUUUAAAAUGUGUUUAGAGGUUUGUAGGCGUGUAGUCGAUUAAAACUCGGAUAUCAAAUUUAUAACCCAUCAAAUUUUUACAUCUUAUUAGAAACUUAUGGUUAGUUUGAUUUUCAUAAUAUAAUUAAUGCUUUGAAUGUAAGAAAAAAAA
rnacentral:lncRNA from 1 species